rnacentral:rRNA from 1 species
AGGGAAUCUUCCACAAUGGACGAAAGUCUGAUGGAGUAACGCCGCGUGAGUGAUGAAGGGUUUCGGCUCGUAAAACUCUGUUGUUGGAGAAGAACGGGUGUCAGAGUAACUGUUGACAUCGUGACGGUAUCCAACCAGAAAGCCACGGCUAACUACGUGCCAGCAGCCGCGGUAAUACGUAGGUGGCAAGCGUUGUCCGGAUUUAUUGGGCGUAAAGCGAGCGCAGGCGGUUUUUUAGGUCUGAUGUGAAAGCCUUCGGCUUAACCGGAGAAGUGCAUCGGAAACCGGGAGACUUGAGUGCAGAAGAGGACAGUGGAACUCCAUGUGUAGCGGUGAAAUGCGUAGAUAUAUGGAAGAACACCAGUGGCGAAGGCGGCUGUCUGGUCUGCAACUGACGCUGAGGCUCGAAAGCAUGGGUAGCGAACAGGAUUAGAUACCCUGGUAGUCCAUGCCGUAAACGAUGAGUGCUAAGUGUUGGAGGGUUUCCGCCCUUCAGUGCUGCAGCUAACGCAUUAAGCACUCCGCCUGGGGGAGUACGACCGCAAGGUUG